rnacentral:lncRNA from 1 species
UUCUAGAUGGUAUGUUAUUCACUCUCUCUCGUGUCUAAGUAAAAAUGAUUUAAUAGUUUCUGCAUAAAAAAUGUAUGGAGAUUAGGGUAGAAAAAUUAUCGUCACCAUUUUAAUAUAUGGCAUUAUGCAUUGAUACUGUUAGAGAAGAUCUUCUACUGCCAAGUUUCAUUCUCCUUGUUGGCACAGUUAUCAUCAGUUAAAGACAUGAUCCUUUAUUCACCUUUCUAGUGAUUAUUAUACCAACAGAAUACCUCAUGGCCAAUUCUUUCCUCAAUCUGGUUGUGAGCCCAUGACAUAGUGUUGCCCCUAGAACCAAAAUGCCUCUAGAGCAAGGUUCCAUGUAUAGCCUGCAAAAAUUUGUACAUAUCCUCAAUAAUAAAUUUACAAAAUUAUUCAAAACUGAUCCUGACUUUUUUAAGCACUAAAAUUUACUAAACUACUGAAUCAAAACAAAGUAUCGAGUGUUCUUGUAACCCAAUGAAAAAGUAGCAGACCCUAGAUGCUGCAGCUCACAUGCGUAUAAGUAAAUAGGUGAGAAACUCAAUAUAGCUCAGUUCACACAGUACGCCAUUAGGUGGAUAAUACGCAAAUAGUUAGAUAUUUUUAGAGAGAGUGAAAUCCUCCAGCAAUGAAAAGAAUAGAGAAACGAGUUACUAAGUCAAGGUGCACAUAACAGGAUAGUUUCUGAUAGACAAACUAUCACUAAACUAUGCUUCCUGCAAUUUACACAAGUAUCAUUGUUUUAUCUUUCGUUUUAGCAUUUUUUUUACCUCCAAUACCGCACUUUCUUAUAUUAAUCCACUAGCAUGCUUAUCCUAUCUGAUGCCUUAAAGAAUCAUUUCAAAAGAGUUGUUCAGUUCUUCAUAUUAUCUGUUGAAUAGAAACUAAAGAUAAAGAAUGUACAUGACAUACAAGGGUGGAAGCUUUAUUUAUGUUAGCUGUAAUGCAUAUGAUCAUUCUUAGCUCCUUAUUCUUUUUAUCAAGAGCAGUAGCAUAGUACAAGUCUACUGGUGAACUGACAAGACAUAGUAAUGUGAGUUCAAUAGCCAAACCAUUCAUCAGUUCAAACCUUAUAUGUGUGAGGUUUUUAUUUUUUAUUUUUUUAUUUUAUUUUUUUAUUUGUUGGGGGGAGGUGGGGGGUGGAGGUGUGUGGGGUUGUCUUUAUAACACAAUGUUAUUAUGUUAUGAAUAUUAAACAACUAAUAGAAGAGAGAAACAUGUACAUGAAACAACGUUUUUCGACUGCCUCAUCAGAUGAAGUUUGUUUUGGUGCGACAGGAAAUCCGGAAGGGUUAGGUGCCGAUCUUUUGGAAACUUUGAUGAAGAUGGCUCCAACAAAGGAGGAAGAGAUAAAACUUAGAGACUACAGAGGUGACAAGCCAAAACUAGGGUCUGCAGAGCGUUUUCUCAAGGCAAUUCUUGAUGUACCAUUUGCCUUUAAAAGAGUGGAAGUCAUGCUAUACAGAGCAAACUUUGACACAGAAGUAAAAUACUUGAGGAAUUCCUUCCAAACCCUAGAGGUAUCCUAUAGCCUCUUAACUCCAUUUGAUGAAAUGUUUCAUGCAUAUGAAUUAAUUUGUGCGUCGCUAUAACUUGAUAUCAUAAUACCUCAGAAGAAUUUGGAUGCUAUCAAAGUGAGUUAGUAUCUGAGCUAAUUCAAAUAUAUGAUCCUUAAAUGUCAAAAUCUCUUUAUUUUAUUGACACACAUAUUUGCAAGCUUGCUCAUUACAAAAACAUUGAUCAGGCAGCAAAUGAAGAAUUGAAGAACAGUCGGCAUUUCCUCAAACUGCUUGAAGCUGUUCUGAGGACAGGAAACCGCAUGAAUGUUGGCACCAAUCGUGGCAAUGCUAGAGCUUUUAAACUUGAUACAUUGUUGAAAUUAGUAGAUAUAAAGGGAACGGAUGGGAAGACCACCUUGCUCCACUUUGUGGUCCAAGAGAUCAUCAGGUCCGAAGGCACAGAUUCUGACCCUACUACUGAAAUUCUUCCGAAUAAAAUGAGUUUCAGGGUAAAGGAAGAGGAUUUCAAGAAGCAAGGAUUACAGGUUGUUGCAGGAUUGGGUAGAGAACUGGGCAAUGUCAAGAAAGCAGCAGGAAUGGACGCAGAUGUCUUGAGCAGUUACGUUUCAAAGCUUGAAAUGGGGCUUGAGAAAGUCAGAUUGGUUUUGCAAUAUGAAAAACCAAACAUGCGGGGAAAGUUCCUUGAGUCUUUGAAAAUGUUUCUUAGAGAGGCGGGAGAGGAAAUUAUUAGAAUUAAGUCAGAUGAAAGAAAGGUCUUAUCCCUAGUGAAAGAAGUUACAGCGUAUUUUCAUGGUGACACUGUGAAAGAAGAAGCCCAUCCUUUCAGAAUCUUCAUGAUUGUCAGGGAUUUUCUCAGUAUAUUGGAUAAUGUGUGCAAGGAAGUGGGGAGGAUGCAGGACAAAAUAAUGGUGGGUUCUGCAAGAUCAUUCAGGAUACCUGCAACAACAUCACUACCAGUCCUAAACAGAUUCAGUGUGCGUCAAGACAGAAGUUCAGAUGAAGAAAGCUCAUCACCAUGAAAAAAUGUGCUAUGAUGCACUGGAGUCUCAUCAGAGAACAAUCACAGGCUCGGUGCAUUUGCUGCAAGUAUGUUAAAGGAGUAGUCUGAUUGUACAGAAGGAGCUUGUGAUAAUCAAGAGGAUUAAAGACGCAAGUAUAAAAAUAAGACUCGCAUCAAAAUUUUGGUUUCAUCCAUUAGAAGAAGUUAACGUGGAAAGGGAACUGAGAAGAGUUUGAGAAUUAAGGUCAGAUAGCAAAUAAAUAAAGAAUAGGGUGAGGAAAGCAAUUCGAAGUUACUUCCAGAAAUGAGAAUAUAAUCUGGAACGAUGGGUUGCCAAAUGAUGGUUAAGAUAAGUUAUGUUUUAGAAAUAUCAUCUAUACAAAUCCAUAGUUAAGGUAGCAUUCUCAUUUACACACAUCUUCCGGAGAACAUAGAAAGUUUUGAUUCCAGGCCUCGUGUUAUACCUUGAAUUUUGUGUUUUAAAUUAUCUUAUUCAGUUUAAGGAAAUUCUUUUUCUUUUAUCAUGUAAAUCUGUUUUCAGCCUUUUUUGCUGCUGCUGUUUUGAGAAAGAUUUCACACGAUCCAAUACAUUGAGCCAACAAUGAAAAUAUAAUGCUUUUAAGUAUAUUUACUUUUUUAAAAAGGUAAAUUUUGGGGAUUGAAAUCAGGACCUCAAGCUUAAGCAUAUUCAAAAGUUACCCAGAUAGAUUGACACACAGAACUCCACAUGCAUGCAGUUUAUGAACACCAAGUGACUGUAAAAAUGCCGCCAUCACGAAUGAAUUUACAAGCGGGUGUAUCAAGAUUUAUAAUUACGUAACUAAAUCAGCUCUUUGAAGUGAAAAUCUUAGUGAGCUCUGGCUCAUGAUUUAGAUCAGGUGCAACAGUUGCGAUAAGAAAUUUUUAGCAAGCACUUUAGGCGAAUUAAAGAAAAUGGGGAGAAAUUUCACAAAGGAAUAAAGAUGAAAAAUAACUCACUUCUGAUGCGAAUAAGCGAUAUCCGCUUCCCGCCUGACCAUUAUCAACCGGAAGAGCAGAUAGGGUGUGACUAUUGGAAUUAAUGAAUCCUCUCCCAGAAAUAUUGUAUUCGAAAAGCAAGACAG